rnacentral:rRNA from 1 species
GAUGAACGCUAGCGGGAGGCUUAACACAUGCAAGUCGUGGGGCAGCACGGGGUAGCAAUAUCCUGGUGGCGACCGGCGCACGGGUGAGUAACGCGUAUGCAACCUACCCAGUACAGGGGGAUAGCCCGGAGAAAUUCGGAUUAAUACCCCAUAAUGAUAUUAAUAGGCAUCUUUUAAUAUUUAAAGCUACGGCGGUACUGGAUGGGCAUGCGUAAGAUUAGCUAGUUGGUAGGGUAACGGCCUACCAAGGCUCCGAUCUUUAGGGGUCCCGAGAGGGUGAUCCCCCACACUGGUAGUGAGACACGGACCAGACUCCUAAGGGAGGCAGCAGUGAGGAAUAUUGGUCAAUGGGCGCAAGCCUGAACCAGCCAUCCCGCGUGAAGGAAGAAUGCGCUAUGCGUUGUAAACUUCUUUUCCAGGGGAAUAAAAUUUUGUACGUGUACGGAAUUGAGGGUAACCUGGGAAUAAGCAUCGGCUAACUCCGUGCCAGCAGCCGCGGUAAUAC